rnacentral:rRNA from 1 species
AUUGAACGCUGGCGGCAGGCCUAGCACAUGCGAGUCGAGCGGAUGAAGGGAGCUUGCUCCUGGAUUCAGCGGCGGACGGGUGAGUAAUGCCUAGGAAUCUGCCUGGUAGUGGGGGAUAACGUCCGGAAACGGGCGCUAAUACCGCAUACGUCCUGAGGGAGAAAGUGGGGGAUCUUCGGACCUCACGCUAUCAGAUGAGCCUAGGUCGGAUUAGCUAGUUGGUGGGGUAAAGGCCUACCAAGGCGACGAUCCGUAACUGGUCUGAGAGGAUGAUCAGUCACACUGGAACUGAGACACGGUCCAGACUCCUACGGGAGGCAGCAGUGGGGAAUAUUGGACAAUGGGCGAAAGCCUGAUCCAGCCAUGCCGCGUGUGUGAAGAAGGUCUUCGGAUUGUAAAGCACUUUAAGUUGGGAGGAAGGGCAGUAAGUUAAUACCUUGCUGUUUUGACGUUACCAACAGAAUAAGCACCGGCUAACUUCGUG